rnacentral:rRNA from 1 species
UACGGGGGGGGCAAGCGUUGUUCGGAAUUACUGGGCGUAAAGGGUUUGUAGGUGGCCUGCUAAGUCAGACGUGAAAUCCCUCAGCUUAACUGGGGAACUGCGUCUGAGACUGGUAGGCUCGAGGACAGGAGAGGAACGCGGAAUUCCAGGUGUAGCGGUGAAAUGCGUAGAUAUCGGGAGGAACACCUGUGGCGAAAGCGGCGCACUGGACCACAACUGACGCUGAGGCGCGAAAGCUAGGGGAGCAAACAGG